GGACCCAAUUGAUACAACUUGCAUAAGUCAGGAACGAAAUUAAUCGCUUGGGCAGAGGAAAUUUCCGAUGGAGCGGUGAAAUGCACUAAGAUCGAAAAGAACACCAACGGCGAAAACACUCUACUAGGCCGACACUGAGAGACGAAAGCUAGGGGAGCAAAUGGGAUUAGAUACCCCAAUAGUCCAAAGAGUAAACGAUGGAUAUUAGGCGCUGUGCGUAUCGACCCGUGCCCUGCUAUGUUCCAACUACUUUUGUCUUCAUC
rnacentral:ncRNA from 1 species